CCUACGGGCGCGCAGCAGUGAGGAAUAUUGGUCAAUGGGCGGAAGCCUGAACCAGCCAAGUCGCGUGAGGGAUUAAGGCCCUAUGGGUCGUAAACCUCUUUUGUCAGGGAGCAAGGUCGUCCACGUGUGGGCGUAUGGAGAGUACCUGAAGAAAAAGCAUCGGCUAACUCCGGGCCAGCAGCCGCGGUAAUACGGAUGAUGCGAGCGUUAUCCGGAUGUAUUGGGUUUAAAGGGUGCGUAGGCGGGACCUUAAGUCAGCGGUAAAAUUGCGGUGCUCAACGCCGUAGAGCCGUUGAAACGGGGGCUCUUGAGUGAGCGAGAAGUAUGCGGAAUGCGUGGUGUAGCGGUGAAAUGCAUAGAUAUCACGCAGAACCCCGAUUGCGAAGGCAGCAUACCGGCGCUCAACUGACGCUGAGGCACGAAAGUGCGGGUAUCGAACAGGAUUAGAUACCCUUGUAGUC
rnacentral:rRNA from 1 species